rnacentral:rRNA from 1 species
GUUCGUGGAGUGAUCUGUCUGCUUAAUUGCGUUUCACUAAGGGCUUAUAAAUUUACGUGUGUUGUAAGUACUUUGACCCCUACAUUGAAAUAUAUGUAGUGCGUGUCUUUGUUUGCUUUACUCACACAAUUAAGUCCUGAAAGCAACGAACGUGACCGCAACCUCUUGUUGCCUUUAUCCAAAACGGCGUUAUUUUAAAUUUAUUUAAGAUUAACGUUAAAAAGAGGCUUUUAAACUAGAGGGACCGCUGUAAUCUUUUUAAACCAGAGGAAGGUUGCGGCAAUAACAGGU